UACGGAGGAUGCGAGCGUUAUCCGGAUUUAUUGGGUUUAUAGGGUGCGCAGGCGGAUUUUUAAGUCAGCGGUCAAAUCGUGGGGCUCAACCCCAUCCAGCCGUUGAAACUGGGGAUCUAGAGUGUGCGAGAGGUAUGCGGAAUGCGUGGUGUAGCGGUGAAAUGCAUAGAUAUCACGCAGAACCCCGAUUGCGAAGGCAGCAUACCGGUGCACAACUGACGCUCAGGCACGAAAGCGUGGGUAUCGAACAGG
rnacentral:rRNA from 1 species